UGGUCUUGGAUCCUAUGAACUUUGCUCCCACGUAUGUCCACGUCGUGACACCAGUAGGAAGUUGUAAACAAACACAGCGUGAAUUAUUUUUCGAGAAAUAAAAAUGGCUGUAUCUUCAGGGAUGUCUUUUGCCAUUGCUUCGUUGUUGACAGUAUUGCUCUUCUCCGGCAUGCAGAUGAAUCGUCAAUGGCUAGCUUCGUCGCAGGUUCUUACACUCGUAGGAGGCUGGUUUGCAUCAAUGCUGUUCGAGCUGCUGCUGAUAGCAGUUGGAAAUUUGGAGUCAGCUCUGUUCGGUAAAGGGUUCCAAACAACCCUUUUUCCUGAAGUUGUACUUUGUCUUGCUAUUGCCAUGGUUUCUGCUGGUAUGAUACACAGAGUUUGCACAACAACAUGUCUGUUAUUCUCCCUUGUGGCGCUGUACUAUAUGAACCGCAUAUCUCAAGCAACAUAUGCUGCCCCUGCCCCUGUGCAGCCAGUAGUGACAAAGAAAAAGAAAUAAUCAUUUAAAGAACUACUUCAAGAGGUGGAGGAUCAUGCAUUUAUAUCAGAAAAGGAACACAGUUCAAAUCAAGACAUGACCUCAGUACAGAGCGUGUCUUCCAGAUAAGAAAAACAAAAACUUCAUAUCUCAAAAAGCUCAGCAUGAAAUGUUAUAACUCUUGUACAAAUUACAUAAAAAUGGAAAAACAGUAUCCUGAACAAGUUUUUGUAAAAUACUUAAUUGUCAUUAUUAGUUAAAAUACACAAUAUACAUUUUAUAAAGAGUGCUUCCAUUUAUGAGCACCGGAGUAUGAACAAAAGAACUUGGGUCGUAGAUGCAGAGACAGUGCAAGGAGGGGGGAGGGGACAAGGGUAGUGGUGGUGGGGGUGCUCCUUUGUGAAUGACCACUAUUUGGUAGGGGAGUUGCAGUUUGACAACCUGAAGCCUAUAGAGAAACCUACACCUCACAUGCUUGUGAUCUACAGCUAGUGAGUCUGCAAAUGAUCGUUUAAACAGAUUGUGUCAAUAUAACCGAAAAAGAAAGUCACAUAAAGAAAGGCUCAACCAAAACAAAACAAGAUCGACCUUCCACUCCCAAAAUGAAAUAGCCUAAAACAAGUAAGAAAUAAAAAAUUUAGUAUCUUUGACAAUGUUGCUUACUACAAUACUGACAUUGUAAAACAAAGAUCUUUUGUGACAUGUAAAUUGUGUCAGUCCCCUGGGAUAACCUGUUGUGCAGCUUUACCCAAAGUUAUUUUAUUCUGCAUCUUCCCCAAGUAGGAAAGCUGUGGGAGGUACUUGUAGCUACAGUUACCCAUCCUUUAUUGAGUAAUUGGACUAGCUAGUAGCUCGUACAGCCCUAUCUGCCAUAGUUUUCAAUAAAAGAUUUUGGCCUCUCCCAACACAAAUUUAAUGAAUAGAGCAAAAAGCCUGUCCAAAGUUGCAAAUUUUACUUUUUUAUUCACUCGAUGGCUAGUUUCGGGCUGAGACUCAUUUUCAAAUCAUCGUAACAUAGUCUAAAAUGUCAUUUUCGAAAGUGGGAAAACCAUGUCAAAAAUGUGCAACAAACAGUUACAACACACACAGAAUAGUUAUCUUUAACUGUUCAUUCCACAUUUUUGAUAUGGUUUUCACAACUUUGGAAAAGAUAUUUUCGACUAUGUUAUGAAGAUUUUAAAAUGGUUCUCAGCCCAAAACUAGUCACCGAGUAAAUAAAAAAAGUAAAAUUUGCAACUUUGGACUGAUUUUUCGUUCUGCUGGUCAACAAAAGUUGCAGACCCACAGCUACUCCAGUAUGCUGGAAGUUUGUACAAAUUUAAUGGUAUUGUAUAUAAUGAAUGUACCUGAUUCUGUAGAACUUUAUAUGCACUGUAGUGCAUGAAGGCUGCAGUGCCAUGCUACAUAGUGAAGACACAGCUACAAGAACACUUGGAAGUGUUUAGGCUGGAAUGUGACAAUCAACUGGUCACCCCUGCAGAACAGUGGGAUGUAAUUGGUCAAUGCUUAUAAUGUAAAUGUGUUUCUGCACUGGUGACACAUUAUUUUGGGUGAACUGUACCCCCCUUCUUAUAGUUGCAGUACCAUGUAGAUUGUUAAAAUACAAAUAAAGUAAAUACAGGGUGUUCAGAAAUUCCCAAUAUAAACUUCUAGGAUGUAUAGACGUGAGUGAAUACAUAAGAUUGUGAAUAGGCAUGUUAUUCCAGAAACGUACUAUUUCCGUUCUACAAUGGAUUCAAUUCAGAUGUUUAACCCAUCCACUUGUGCUUGAAGAUUUGAAUAGGGUGAGAGAGUACAGCUAUUAGGUUACAAUUUGAAAGGAAACAUCAAUUUAUCACUUACGCAUAGUUGUUUGUAUUAACACUUAAACAUUACAUGUUUACAUUAUUCCAAAACAAUAAAGAACUCUGUAUACUGCA